AUUGAACGCUGGCGGCAGGCCUAACACAUGCAAGUCGAGCGGAUGAAGGGAGCUUGCUCCUGGAUUCAGCGGCGGACGGGUGAGUAAUGCCUAGGAAUCUGCCUGGUAGUGGGGGAUAACGUCCGGAAACGGGCGCUAAUACCGCAUACGUCCUGAGGGAGAAAGUGGGGGAUCUUCGGACCUCACGCUAUCAGAUGAGCCUAGGUCGGAUUAGCUAGUUGGUGGGGUAAAGGCCUACCAAGGCGACGAUCCGUAACUGGUCUGAGAGGAUGAUCAGUCACACUGGAACUGAGACACGGUCCAGGCUCCUACGGGAGGCAGCAGUGGGGAAUAAUGGACAAUGGGCGAAAGCCUGAUCCAGCCAUGCCGCGUGUGUGAAGAAGGUCUUCGGAUUGUAAAGCACUUUAAGUUGGGAGGAAGGGCAGUAAGUUAAUACCUUGCUGUUUUGACGUUACCAACAGAAUAAGCACCGGCUAACUUCGUG
rnacentral:rRNA from 1 species